AACAAACGCUGGCGGCGUGCCUAACACAUGCAAGUCGUACGAGAAAGGGUCCUUCGGGACCUGAGUAAAGUGGCGCACGGGUGAGUAACGCGUGGAUAAUCUGCCCCUCAGUUGGGAAUAACUCAUCGAAAGGUGGGCUAAUACCGAAUAACACUGCUUGGCCCCGGCCAGACAGUCAAAGAGAGCCUCUGCUUGCAUGCCCUUGCUGAAGGAUGAGUCCGCGUACCAUUAGCUAGUUGGCAGGGUAAUGGCCUACCAAGGCGACGAUGGUUAGCUGGUCUGAGAGGAUGAUCAGCCACACUGGAACUGAGACACGGUCCAGACUCCUACGGGAGGCUG
rnacentral:rRNA from 1 species